GCCAUUUUGUCUCGGCAGCGGUGGCCGUAGCUCCAUCGCAUUUUAUGUUUCUGGCGAGAAGGGAACGGAGUUUUCAUCAGGUAGAUUGGUUUUUGUGCGGCCGUCCUCCACCGUUUCCUCCAGGACAGCACCUAGUCGUGGCCGGAGGAGUCUCAGAGCUGUCAGAAAGUAGAAAUAAUCGGCUGGGCGUGGUGGCUCAUGCCUGUAAUCUCAGCACUUUGGGAGGCCGAGGCGGGUGGAUCACCUGAGGUCGAGAGUUCAAGACCAGCCUGACCAACAUGGAGAAACCCCGUCGCUACUAAAAAUACAGAAUUAGCCGGGCGUGGUGGCGCAUUCCUGUAAUUCCAGCUAAUUGGGAGGCUGAGGCAGGAGAAUCGCUUAAACCUGGAAGAUGGAGGUUGCGGUAAGCUGAGAUCGUGGAAUUGCACUUCACCCUAGGCAAUGUGAGCAUUUGUACAGUGAAACAUUUUGCUACACAAAAGUGAUGUUUAGGAAUACUAACAAAUUAUUUUCAAGGUUAGUUGUGUUUAACUACUUUGUGUUUCCCUGUAGUCUUCUCUA
rnacentral:lncRNA from 1 species